AAAUCAGCAUUUUUCAAGGGACGGGCAACAGAGGAUGGAAGUUGCCCUCUGUGCUCAGCCCAGCAAAGCCCUGUGAAUGCUUACAGAGCAAACAGACCUGGAUGAAUGAUUUCCUGAGGCUGUAUGAUCAAGUUGGACAAGACGUGGCCCGUCAACAAGAGAGCCUGCCCAAAGGACAAGGGUCAGACCUGGCAGCAGCUGUAGGGACUUGGCAGACGUGAGGCAGGAGCUAACAGAGACACAAACUUGAAAAUACCACCCUGGAUCUGAAAAGGAAGCUCUUAAAAAUGUCAGAGACAGAGAAUGCUUUGCAGCUACCCGGUGACACCAGUCAUCUCAACUAACGAAUUACUUCUAUGAAGAAAGAAAUUACUUCUGUAAAGUAAAACAAAAUUUGCCAAACCAGAUUAAAACACGGAGUGUCUAACUGCCAUGGAAACUUCUCUGCAAGCUUAUCUGUAACUAGACAAGAUAAAUGCAUACCUGCUUUAUACAGGAGAAGGGGACAGAAAAAUACAAUGUAACACUCUA